rnacentral:rRNA from 1 species
AACGAACGUUGGCGGCGUGGAUUAGGCAUGCAAGUCGAACGCGAAAGGGUAGCAAUACCCGAGUAAAGUGGCGAACGGGUGAGUAACGCGUAGGAAACCUGCCUUCGAGUGGGGGAUAACAUUCCUAACGGGGUGCUAAUACCGCAUGAAACUGCGGGAUCGCAUGGUUCUGCAGUCAAAGGUGGCCUCUAUUUAUAAGCUACCGCUCAAAGAUGGUCCUGCGUCCCAUUAGCUAGUUGGCGGGGAACGGCCCACCAAGGCAUCGAUGGGUAGCCGAUCUGAGAGGAUGACCGGCCACACUGGGACUGAGAUACGGCCCAGACUCCUACGGGAGGCAGCAGUCGAGAGGCUUCGGCAAUGGGGGAAACCCUGACCGAGCGACGCCGCGUGGAGGAUGAAGGCCCCUUGGGUGUAAACUCCUGUCAUGUGGGAAGAACCCUCACGGCUCUAACAGAUCCGUGAGCUGACGGUACCACAAGAGGAAGCUCCGGCUAACUCCGUGCCAGCCGCCGCCGUAA